UCAGGCCUAACACAUGCAAGUCGAACGAGAUUAUAGGGUAAGCUUGCUUACCUUAUAUGACAGCGGCGCACGGGUGCGUAACGCGUAUGCAAUCUACCUUAAUCAGGGGGAUAGCCUCUCGAAAGAGAGAUUAAUACCGCAUAACAUUAUGAUAUGGCAUCAUAUUAUAAUCAAACAUUUAUGGGAUUAAGAUGAGCAUGCGUGACAUUAGCUAGUUGGUGAGGUAACGGCUCACCAAGGCAACGAUGUCUAGGGGAUCUGAGAGGAUGACCCCCCACACUGGUACUGAGACACGGACCAGACUCCUACGGGAGGCAGCAGUAAGGAAUAUUGGUCAAUGGACGCAAGUCUGAACCAGCCAUGCCGCGUGCAGGAAGACGGCCCUAUGGGUUGUAAACUGCUUUUAUACGGGAAUAAACCUUCUUUCGUGAAAGAAGCUGAA
rnacentral:rRNA from 1 species